GGGCGGUCAGUUUAAGUGGUUGAAAUGCUGCCGAGGUGCACCAAGGCAGAGAGGCGAGUUCGAAUCCCGCACCGCUCA
rnacentral:tRNA from 2 species